ACAGCAGUCGCCACGGGAAUACGUAGGGUGCAAGCGUUAAUCGGAAUUACUGGGCGUAAAGCGUGCGCAGGCGGUUAUAUAAGACAGAUGUGAAAUCCCCGGGCUCAACCUGGGAACUGCAUUUGUGACUGUAUAGCUAGAGUACGGCAGAGGGGGAUGGAAUUCCGCGUGUAGCAGUGAAAUGCGUAGAUAUGCGGAGGAACACCGAUGGCGAAGGCAAUCCCCUGGGCCUGUACUGACGCUCAUGCACGAAAGCGUGGGGAGCAAACAGGAUUAGAUACCCCUGUAGUCCCUGUCUCUUAUAC
rnacentral:rRNA from 1 species